rnacentral:rRNA from 1 species
AUUGAACGCUGGCGGCAUGCCUUACACAUGCAAGUCGAACGGCAGCACGGGAGCAAUCCUGGUGGCGAGUGGCGAACGGGUGAGUAAUACAUCGGAACGUGCCCAGUUGUGGGGGAUAGCCCGGCGAAAGCCGGAUUAAUACCGCAUACGACCUAUGGGUGAAAGCGGGGGAUCGCAAGACCUCGCGCAAUUGGAGCGGCCGAUGUCAGAUUAGGUAGUUGGUGGGGUAAAAGCCUACCAAGCCGACGAUCUGUAGCUGGUCUGAGAGGACGACCAGCCACACUGGGACUGAGACACGGCCCAGACUCCUACGGGAGGCAGCAGUGGGGAAUUUUGGACAAUGGGCGCAAGCCUGAUCCAGCCAUGCCGCGUGUGGGAAGAAGGCCUCGGGUUGUAAACCACUUUUGUCAGGGAAGAAACGGCCUAGGCUAACAUCUUGGGCUAAUGACGGUACCUGAAGAAUAAGCACCGGCUAACUACGUGCCAGCAGCCGCGGUAAUACGUAGGGUGCAAGCGUUAAUCGGAAUUACUGGGCGUAAAGCGUGCGCAGGC